UCUGGCGGCUGUAGCGCGGUGGUCCCACCUGACCCCAUGCCGAACUCAGAAGUGAAACGCCGUAGCGCCGAUGAUAGUGUGGGGUCUCCCCAUGCGAGAGUAGGGAACUGCCAGAC
rnacentral:rRNA from 3 species